AAGAGACAGCAGCCGCCGCGGUAAUACGAAGGGGGCUAGCGUUGUUCGGAAUUACUGGGCGUAAAGCGCACGUAGGCGGACAUUUAAGUCAGGGGUGAAAUCCCGGGGCUCAACCCCGGAACUGCCUUUGAUACUGGGUGUCUAGAGUAUGGAAGAGGUGAGUGGAAUUCCGAGUGUAGAGGUGAAAUUCGUAGAUAUUCGGAGGAACACCAGUGGCGAAGGCGGCUCACUGGUCCAUUACUGACGCUGAGGUGCGAAAGCGUGGGGAGCAAACAGGAUUAGAUACCCCAGUAGUCCCUGUCUCUUAUAC
rnacentral:rRNA from 1 species